rnacentral:rRNA from 1 species
UACGGAGGGGGCUAGCGUUAUUCGGAAUUACUGGGCGUAAAGCGCACGUAGGCGGCUUUGUAAGUCAGAGGUGAAAGCCUGGAGCUCAACUCCAGAACUGCCUUUGAGACUGCAUCGCUUGAAUCCAGGAGAGGUGAGUGGAAUUCCGAGUGUAGAGGUGAAAUUCGUAGAUAUUCGGAAGAACACCAGUGGCGAAGGCGGCUCACUGGACUGGUAUUGACGCUGAGGUGCGAAAGCGUGGGAGCAAACAGG